rnacentral:ncRNA from 1 species
GUGUUAUAUCAAAGGAGAGAAUGUUAGCACUCCCCUUGAUAAUGACAGAAGAGUUCCUAGUGGCCUUUACAAUACAUCUACAGUUAAGGCAUUGCUAUCUACUCUGUGGCAUCUAACCUCUGAUAAAU